rnacentral:rRNA from 1 species
AUACCGCAUACGCUCUACGGGGGAAAGCGGAGGAUGUUGGGGACCUUGGGGUUAUUAGAUAAGCCUGCGUUAGAUUAGAAAGCUGGGGGGUAAUGGGUCUACCAAGGCGACGAUCUAUAGCUGGUUUGAGAGGAUGAUCAUCCACACGGGUAUUGAGACACGGUCCAGAUUCCUACGGGAGGCAGCAGUGGGAAUAUUGCACAAUGGGGGCAACCCUGAUCCAGCCAUGCCGCGUGUGUGAAGAAGGCUUUAGGGUUGUAAAGCACUUUCAGUUGGGAAGAAAAGAGGUUGUUUAAUACCCGCAUUCCUUGACGGUACCAAUACAAGAAGCACCGGCUAACUCCGUGCCAGCAGCCGCGGUAAUACGGAGGGUGCAAGCGUUAAUCGGAAUUACUGGGCGUAAAGCGUGCGCAGGCGGUUUGUUAAGUCAGAUGUGAAAGCCCCGGGCUUAACCUGGGAACUGCAUUUGAUACUGGCAAACUAGAGUGUGGUAGAGGGAAGUGGAAUUCCUCAUGUAGCGGUGAAAUGCGUAGAUAUGGGGAGGAACACCAGUGGCGAAGGCGACUUCCUGGACCAACACUGACGCUCAGGUACGAAAGCGUGGGUAGCAAACAGGAUUAGAUACCCUGGUAGUCCACGCCGUAAACGAUGUCUACUAGCCGUUGGGGGGCUUGUCCCUUUAGUGGCGCAGCUAAC